rnacentral:rRNA from 1 species
GAUGAACGCUAGCUACAGGCUUAACACAUGCAAGUCGAGGGGCAGCAUUUUAGUUUGCUUGCAAACUGAAGAUGGCGACCGGCGCACGGGUGAGUAACACGUAUCCAACCUGCCGAUAACUCCGGGAUAGCCUUUCGAAAGAAAGAUUAAUACCGGAUAGUAUACGAAUAUCGCAUGAUAUUUUUAUUAAAGAAUUUCGGUUAUCGAUGGGGAUGCGUUCCAUUAGUUUGUUGGCGGGGUAACGGCCCACCAAGACUACGAUGGAUAGGGGUUCUGAGAGGAAGGUCCCCCACAUUGGAACUGAGACACGGUCCAAACUCCUACGGGAGGCAGCAGUGAGGAAUAUUGGUCAAUGGGCGCGAGCCUGAACCAGCCAAGUAGCGUGAAGGAUGAAGGCUCUAUGGGUCGUAAACUUCUUUUAUAUGGGAAUAAAGUUUUCCACGUGUGGAAUUUUGUAUGUACCAUAUGAAUAAGGAUCGGCUAACCCCGUGCCAGCAGCCGCGGUAAUACGGAGGAUCCGAGCGUUAUCCGGAUUUAUUGGGUUUAAAGGGAGCGUAGGUGGAUUGUUAAGUCAGUUGUGAAAGUUUGCGGCUCAACCGUAAAAUUGCAGUUGAAACUGGCAGUCUUGAGUACAGUAGAGGUGGGCGGAAUUCGUGGUGUAGCGGUGAAAUGCUUAGAUAUCACGAAGAACUCCGAUUGCGAAGGCAGCUCACUAGACUGUCACUGACACUGAUGCUCGAAAGUGUGGGUAUCAAACAGGAUUAGAUACCCUGGUAGUCCACACAGUAAACGAUGAAUACUCGCUGUUUGCGAUAUACAGUAAGCGGCCAAGCGAAAGCAUUAAGUAUUCCACCUGGGGAGUACGCCGGCAACGGUGAAACUCAAAGGAAUUGACGGGGGCCCGCACAAGCGGAGGAACAUGUGGUUUAAUUCGAUGAUACGCGAGGAACCUUACCCGGGCUUAAAUUGCAACAGAAUAUAUUGGAAACAGUAUAGCCGUAAGGCUGUUGUGAAGGUGCUGCAUGGUUGUCGUCAGCUCGUGCCGUGAGGUGUCGGCUUAAGUGCCAUAACGAGCGCAACCCUUAUCUUUAGUUACUAACAGGUGAUGCUGAGGACUCUAGAGAGACUGCCGUCGUAAGAUGUGAGGAAGGUGGGGAUGACGUCAAAUCAGCACGGCCCUUACGUCCGGGGCUACACACGUGUUACAAUGGGGGGUACAGAAGGCGGCUACCUGGUGACAGGAUGCUAAUCCCAAAAACCUCUCUCAGUUCGGAUCGAAGUCUGCAACCCGACUUCGUGAAGCUGGAUUCGCUAGUAAUCGCGCAUCAGCCAUGGCGCGGUGAAUACGUUUCCCGGGCCU